GUCAACCUUCCUCAGCCCCCUCACAUUUCUUAUCUUCCCCAUUCUUCUCUUCCUACCUCCUCCUCUGUUGACUCACGCUAGAUCCCCCAUCCACAGCCGGCACUCUCUGGUGGCCGCCCCUCCCCUUCGUCACCAUUGUCGGCGGACACGCAGGCCCAUGCUCUUCCCCGCCCCGCCCCUUCUUCACAUCCUAUUCCCGAAGUGCUCGAGGAGGCGCUCGAGCUCGGCAUGCUCGCCGGCGACACCGGAGCCCUCCCUCCUCCUGAUGCACUCUCCGUCGCCGCCAUGAGCGUCUCUACCUUCUCCCGCGCGCCAUGAAUCCUCCCUCCCCCCUACUCGAGACGCCAUCAAGUCUGGAGCAGGAGCAGCUGCUACUCCCGACCUCCGAUUCCUUCUUUCCAUGGAUGACCACGAAGACCUCCGCAUGAUGUGCUGCUGCUCGGGGCCCUCCCUAUGCUUCUCCUCGCUCGUAAGGGUCCAGGGUUAGCUGCUCAGGGGCCAUGGUGUGUUCCGUGUGGCGCUGCCUUCGCGGCCGCCGCCGUUCCCUUGUUGUGUCUCUGAGACUGGAGGUCCCUGCUCGCCAACUCACAGACGGUUGUUCUCCGACCAGUUAAAAAAGAAUUUUCUGAAGGAGGAGGUGCCGAAAGGGGAUGGGAGCAACAAGUCUGAAUCGAAGAGUCAAAGAAGUCGAACCUGAAGAAGUGCAGGGAAGAAUUAUAGUUGCGUGUGGCUGGCUGGUUCAGGGGAAUUUCAGGGUGGCGCGGGUGCCGGAGCAGGCUCCUAGGCACUGGCGAUCUGUCGGACGGAUAUUAGAAACGAAGGUGAAGGAGGAGCGGCCGCCCACUCGACGUUGCGAUGUAGGGCGGCGAGGGAGCCCGGCAGGGAGGCCUCAAUGCGCUGCAGGACGUCGAGGGAACCGUCCAGCGAGGCGACGAUGCGAUGCAGGGAUCGAGGCCGCCGUGCAUGGAGGCGACAGGGCGCGACAGGGCUGCUGAGCUUCGUCUGGAGCGGUGGCGAGGAAAGGCAGGGAGAGGGGCCAGGGACACGAUUAGGUUCGGCUUCCUUUUUUUGUGAGUUGGUUAGAUGGUUAGAUUAGCGUGAUUUGAGGGGCUGCGGAUGCGGGACGGAGAGUCUCAUAUUUUCAUCUGGUGGAGUACGGUCAGUCUAUUGAAACUACUAAGCGCACACCAGAUCUUGAAUAAAUUAAUGAUGGCUGUUAGAUUGGGUUGUGUGGGCUUCAUCCUGUGGUGCUGAUGCGUCUGUGGACGUUUUGCGGGGUGCACG
rnacentral:rRNA from 1 species